UAGAUACCCGCUGAACUUAAGCAUAUCAAUAAGCGGGAGGGAAAAGAAACCAACAGGGAUUACCUCAGUAACGGCGAGUGAAGCGGUAACAGCUCAAAUUUGAAAGCUAGCCCGCCCCGGGUUCGCGUUGUAAUUUGCAGAAGAUGCUUCGGGCGCGGCCCCGGUCUAAGUUCCUUGGAACAGGACGUCACAGAGGGUGAGAAUCCCGUACGUGACCGGGCGCCCGCGCCCGUGUGAAGCUCUUUCGACGAGUCGAGUUGUUUGGGAAUGCAGCUCAAAAUGGGUGGUAUAUUUCAUCUAAAGCUAAAUAUGGGCCAGAGACCGAUAGCGCACAAGUAGAGUGAUCGAAAGAUGAAAAGCACUUUGGAAAGAGAGUUAAACAGUACGUGAAAUUGUUGAAAGGGAAGCGCUUGCAACCAGACUUGCGCACGGGCGAUCACCCGGGCUUCUGCCCGGGGCACUCGUCCGCGCGCAGGCCAGCAUCGGUUCUGGUGGUGGGACAAAGGCCGGGGGAACGUAGCUCCCCUCGGGGAGUGUUAUAGCCCCCGGCGCAAUGCCGCCCACCGGGACCGAGGACCGCGCUCCGGCUAGGAUGCUGGCGUAAUGGUUGUAAGCGACCCGUCUUGAAACACGGACCAAGGAGUCUAACAUCUGUGCGAGUGUUUGGGUGCCAAACCCCUACGCGUAAUGAAAGUGAACGGAGGUGAGAACCCUGAAGGGCGCAUCAUCGACCGAUCCUGAUGUCUUCGGAUGGAUUUGAGUACGAGCACAGCUGUUGGGACCCGAAAGAUGGUGAACUAUGCGUGAAUAGGGUGAAGCCAGAGGAAACUCUGGUGGAGGCUCGCAGCGGUUCUGACGUGCAAAUCGAUCGUCAAAUUUGCGUAUAGGGGCGAAAGACUAAUCGAACCAUCUAGUAGCUGGUUCCUGCGGUUC
rnacentral:rRNA from 1 species